rnacentral:rRNA from 1 species
GCCAUGCCGCGUGUGUGAUGAAGGCCUUAGGGUUGUAAAGCUCUUUCGCCGGGGAAGAUAAUGACAGUUCCCGGAGAAGAAGCCCCGGCUAACUUCUUGCCAACAGCCGCGGUAAUACUAAGGGGGCAAGCGUUGCUCGGAAUCACUGGGCGUAAAGCGUACCUAAGCUGGUCGUUAAGUCACAGGUGAAAUCCUGGAUCUCAACUCCAUAACUGCCUUUGAUACUGGCCACCUUGACUUCGAUAGAGGUUGGUGGAACUGCGAGUGUAAAAGUGAAAUUCAUAUAUAUUCGCAAGAACACCAUUGGCGAAUGCGGCCAACUGGCUCGAUACUGACGCUGACGUACUAAAGCGUGGGGAGCACACAGGAUUAAAUACCCUGGUAGUCCACGCCAUAAACUAUGGAGGCUAUCCGUUACGCAGCUUGCUGCUUAGUGGCGCAGCUUACGCAUUAAGCAUCCCGCCUGGGGAGUACGGUCGCAAGAUUAACACUCAAAGGAAUUGACGGGAGUCCGCACAAGCGGUGGAGCAUGUGAUUUAAUUCAAAGCAACGCGAAGAACCUUACCUCCCUUUGACAUGGCAAGACUAUCUU